AAAACCAGCUCUGAACAGUCAAAGAUCCAGUCCUCCUAGUCCUUCACAACACCACCACCUUUAGCAGACAAGAGGGAAAAGGAUGCCCAGCUGCCAUGUCCUUACUGAGCGAAGAGAUCUGCCUGCCCCGUGCCACCUAAUUCCAAUAUCCUCCCCCAGGCUCCUCUCCAGGCUUUGUGGAAACCCUGUAGUAGUAAAUAGUGACUUACGUAUUGCACACUGCCAUGGUCUGACACGACUCUCCUGUACAGAAUUCUGAGAUUGUACUAUAUUGUAAGUUGAUGUGAUGAAAGAAAGUUGUUGUGUUGCUGGCGAGCCACUCGUUGAGGUCUAUUUCUCGUGGUAGCAUCACCAGCUCCUUAAAUUCAAAGUCGGUAAUUCUGGAUUUUGUGUAUUCUGGCUCUAGGUAAAGUUUCUUCUCUUCCGGCGCUGGCUUUUUACCAUUUGGCUUUCCCUUGGACUUCCGCAGCACCUUGCCCACCGCCUGCAGCACCAUCUUGCAGCUCAGUCCGGCCUUGGGGCUCUGCGCGUGGACGGGCCGUUCGGCGGGCAGGCUGCACUGAUCCCCGACCAUGGUCCGGCGGAGCGGGGCGCCGCGGGGCACGGCUCGGCGCACCGCGGCCUCUCGCCGCUCUCCC
rnacentral:lncRNA from 1 species